rnacentral:rRNA from 1 species
UACGUAGGGGGCUAGCGUUGUCCGGAUUUAUUGGGCGUAAAGAGCGUGUAGGCGGCCAUGUAGGUCCGGUGUGAAAACUCGAGGCUUAACCUCGAGAUGUCAUCGGAAACCAUUUGGCUAGAGUCCGGAAGAGGAGAGUGGAAUUCCUGGUGUAGCGGUGAAAUGCGCAGAUAUCAGGAGGAACACCGGUGGCGAAGGCGGGUCUCUGGGCCGAUACUGACGCUGAGGCACGAAAGCGUGGGGAGCAAACAGG